rnacentral:rRNA from 1 species
UACGGAGGGUGCAAGCAUUGAUCGGAAUUACUGGGCGUAAAGGGCGCGUAGGCGGUCUGAAAAGUCGGAUGUGAAAUUCCGGGGCUCAACCCCGGAGCUGCAUUUGAAACUCUCAGACUUGAGGUUGGUAAGGGAAAACGGAAUUCCACGUGUAGCGGUGAAAUGCGUAGAUAUGUGGAAGAACACCGGUGGUGAAGACGGUUUUCUGUGCUAAACCUGACGCUGAGGCGCGAAAGCUAGGGGAGCAAACAGGG